UGGGAAGAUAACCUUUCCAAUAAAACCUCACCCCUCUUCCUCUAUCAGAAUUACUGUUUUGCUAUUUAUAACUCUGCCUAACUUGGCAGAUAUUGAAAGUAAACACAUUAUAUUUAGUGGCUUGUUGAGGGGUGAGGAAAUACCGUCAUUUCAGUGCAAUAUAAGUAAUAGCAUAACCAGCAAAGUAAAGCUCACUUGGCUCAGGAGCAUCCGCAAGUCAAAAGAUGAGAAUCUCUUCUGCUGGGACAAGAUCAAAGUGAUAUAAUAAUCUAUCAGAUGGUUUCCAUUAGAGGAUCUGUGAUUCAGUUUGUCAACCCAUUAAAUGCAACAUCAUGGCUGUGGAAACAUGAAGUCUUCCAAGAUUGGCAAGAGGUAUAUAGGUCAGUUCUUCUGCCAUUUCAUGUAAUCAUUACUGUUUACGAGGGGCUAAAAUUCAGGGGGGUGCCUGGCUUACACGAGAAUCUUUCAGUCUUCUAAGCUGAGAAGAAAAGUGAUUUAUUUUGAAAAGGGUAAAAAAGAAAUACUGACAGGUUGUCCUCUCCGAAUUCCAAAUUAGCCCAAAAUUGCUUUGCUAAUACAAGCAGGCAGAUAUUAGUGUCUAGACAACUGAAGAACUGUGUUAUAAAAGUAUAAAAAGUAAAUCAUAUCUGACAAACCAAGACACACUAUUUCUUAUUAUAAAAAUGAAAACUAUUUCAUACAUGUAGUCUGCAACAAUUUGAUUUUAGGAAGUGCUAGUGACAUUGGCAAUGAUAUCUUAACUGGUGAGUGCAGGCUGGCGGGAAGAAACCCCCCACAGGAGGAAUGUCAUGAUGGCAGUUUGAGCAGUAAUCUGGGUUAAUAUGCAGAGAAGCACAGAAUAGCUGUUCCCCAUCUACUUUAGAUAUGACAAGGAGCAUAACCAUGAUACCACAGAGCUCAACUCUAGUUAACCACAGAACCUUCCAGGCAGGUACUGCAAACAAUUCUAAGUUUCGUUUGGCCAUUUCUACAGAGCUAUCUGUAACCAAGCUAAUUUCAGUUUGACUCCAGCUCAUUAACGCAAGCUACAGCACUAACUAAAACACAGGCAUACGCUGAGGGGCUCUGCAUGAAAUGCCAGCGGUCAAAAUGAUUCUGUCUUGGAGUAGAGAGGAAUACAUGUCCAGCAGGAGAAGCUGUUUUAAGUCUUACUUAAAUAUUUAUUAAAGAUUGAGGGUAUGGAUAAACAGUACAUUGGGAAAUUAAAAUUAUAAUAAUUUAGAAUGGAUUGCAUUGUACAGCACACAUAAAUCACCAGUUAUUUCUGGAAUGUAAAAAACAUCUCACCCAGAAGUAUUUGCUCUCACAACCCAUUCUCAGAAAAGAAAUUCAGCUUCUCUUGUUCACUGGAAUAAACUCUAGUUCAAAGGUUACUUCUUGGUGUCU
rnacentral:lncRNA from 1 species